rnacentral:sRNA from 1 species
UCGUCCGUAAUCUAAUUCGAAAACUUUUGCGAAACAUUUUGACAGGCUGUCUUUUUAAACAAAUGCAUCACUAAUAUUGUGCUAACAUAAUGCACAUACCUGCACAUGACAAUUAUAAAAAACAUGGCGUCAAAAGAGAGACCGGUGCACAGAGACACCGAGCGCCAAAAAGAACCCGAAAGAGAUGUGUAAAGGCUAAGGCAAAAAAGCAUAACAUGAAAGAGGAAGAAAAGGACAAGAAUGACGAGGCGAAAAGGAACAACGGGAAAAAACUCAUGCUGCACGGCUACGACGAUGAUGUGACUGAAAAAUCCCACAAAAUUGAAGGUUAUUUUUUCCAAUUUGCACAAUACCACCGUAAUAAAUAAGCACUGACAAUUUUUGUCGGUCUUUGUUGCCGUUGAACGCGUUUACCAGGUGCGAGGAGACAGACGGGCAAAGAAGUGCCAAAGCAAUGGGAAUUGCGUUAUUUUCAGAACCACGCUUUUUUUAAUCUUAUUAGGAGGGUAAAGAACCAGCAGCAGCAAUGGCAAACAAACACUUGGAAAAACUUGAAAUUUCGAAUUUAAAUUUCAGUUUCAAUAAAUAUACACCAUAAAAAUUAUAUGCACAAAUUUUACAGAUAGUCUCCGCUCGCUUCCAUUUAAAUUAAAAUAUACACAAAUGUUUACUUUAUUCUUAUUUUUUUUUUUGUACACACUUUACUAAACAGAGAGGAGAUGAGACACAGACACACAAUAACCAAAAAGAAAAAUAAUUAAAUUAUAUGACAAAAACGA